rnacentral:rRNA from 1 species
AACCAAAACAUUUACACCGCUCAAAGUAUAGGAGAUAGAAAUGACCCCAUCAAGCUAUAGAGCCAGUACCGCAAGGGAAAGAAUGAAAGAAAUGACCCCAUC